rnacentral:rRNA from 1 species
UGGGGAAUUUUGGACAAUGGGCGAAAGCCUGAUCCAGCAAUGCCGCGUGUGUGAAGAAGGCCUUCGGGUUGUAAAGCACUUUUGUCCGGAAAGAAAUCCUUGGCUCUAAUACAGUCGGGGGGUGACGGUACCGGAAGAAUAAGCACCGGCUAACUACGUGCCAGCAGCCGCGGUAAUACGUAGGGUGCAAGCGUUAAUCGGAAUUACUGGGCGUAAAGCGUGCGCAGGCGGUUUGCUAAGACCGAUGUGAAAUCCCCGGGCUCAACCUGGGAACUGCAUUGGUGACUGGCAGGCUAGAGUAUGGCAGAGGGGGGUAGAAUUCCACGUGUAGCAGUGAAAUGCGUAGAGAUGUGGAGGAAUACCGAUGGCGAAGGCAGCCCCCUGGGCCAAUACUGACGCUCAUGCACGAAAGCGUGGGGAGCAAACAGGAUUAGAUACCCUGGUAGUCCACGCCCUAAACGAUGUCAACUAGUUGUUGGGGAUUCAUUUCCUUAGUAACGUAGCUAACGCGUGAAGUUGACCGCCUGGGGAGUACGGUCGCAAGAUUAAAACUCAAAGGAAUUGACGGGGUCAUAGCUGUUUCCU